rnacentral:rRNA from 1 species
UACAGAGGGUGCGAGCGUUGUUCGGAAUUACUGGGCGUAAAGUGUGCGCAGGUGGCCGCGCAAGUCGAGUGUGAAAUCCCCGGGCUUAACUUGGGAAUUGCGCUCGAAACUACGUGGCUCGAGUGUGGCAGAGGAAGGUGGAAUUCCACGUGUAGCGGUGAAAUGCGUAGAGAUGUGGAGGAACACCGAUGGCGAAGGCAGCCUUCUGGGCCAACACUGACGCUCAUGCACGAAAGCGUGGGGAGCAAACAGG